GUUGGAGGGAAGCGAACGCGGCACCGGGGCGACCCGAGAUAGGAUUUGAGCGGCAGGGGCGACAAGGGCGGUCCCUGAGCCUCGGGGGACGGGGGUUUGGCUUUGGGGGUCGACACCUUCCUCGAACCCCUUGUUCCCCUAUGAUGUCAGACGCAAGGGCCUGGCGGGCAAGAAGCCGGUGCCUGGAAGCUGGCUUCUCUUUCCCCAUGACCUUGGGGUGAGCUAUCUCCGUCUGCAGCGCCGUGGGUGGGACUUUUUAACGUUUCCCAGCACAGAUUCAGCUCCGUGCGAGGCGCGGCCACGCCCCAUCCAAGCCGGAGCAAUGAUUGCCGGCGCGUCAGAACCCGAGGCGCGAAAGGGAGGAGGGGCCUGGUACCAGGCCGCACACCGGGCCCAGCCCUGUCAGGCCUCCAGCAGCCUCAGUUUCCCUGUCCGUGGUGCUGAGGACUCCAGAGCUUAGAUGCUCGCGGCGGGCAGGCAGGCAUCCCGCAGCGGAGUCGCCUUAGCCACCAGGAACUCUGGCCAAAGAUGCAGCCGCCAUGCCCUGGACUUUCUCAGCACCAGAAAUAGCCCUGCCCCCAACUGGCUCCGAGCAUGCCACUUUGGGCCCAACAAGCCCUUCCUCUGAGCUUAGGGCUCUCCACUAAAACCCUCCCUGCCUACAAUUUCCUGACUCCUUUCUACCUUCCACUCGUGGCCUUAGCGGUCUGUCCCCUCCAGCCCUCACUUCUCCCCAUCCCCAGUGUAAAUUCCACCCCCUCACACAUACACUUGCUCCCCACCCCUGCCCGGCAGAGACACUUCCACUAUUCGGGCACAGAGGAUGGCCACAUUCCCAGCCCCCCACCCCUUUGUAAAAAGGGGCUGGGUCCACAUGACCCCUUCCGUAGGUCACUUCUCCCUCCUGGGAGAGCCCCGCUGCCCUCCCACGUCCCCGUGUCUGACUGGCAGCAAAGGAUCAAGGGAAGAAGCUGGGCCAGCAGCAUGAGUUCUAAGGUCCCUGCGUCCCUGGAUCACCCCAUGGAAGGCGACCUGCCGCUACACGAGGGGACUACCCCAUGAACAGAGGUUAUACGUGUCCCUUCAGGGCCAAGGAGAAUAAAUAUCUGGUAGGCUCUUCCCCUCCCAUGGUGACCCAGGGGGCCGACGGUGAAGACAACGGCAUCAUGAGGAGAAGGGUGAACCCCAGAGUCGCCACGUGGGGGAGAGGAGGCUGGGCAGGAACACCCGCCAGGAUCGCGUGCGGGCCAGGGCCAAGCUUUCCGGUGUGUAGCUGCGGCGCUCCGGGGGCAUUGGUUCCAGCCGUUCGCCUUCCUCUGCUGCACCCACCUGGCGAAGCCCCACCUGCAGGAACCCAGCCGGUUUUCACCCGUCCUUCUCAACUGCCACUGAAAAGCUGAUGUUCCUGAAGAACAGCUCUAAACUGGUUUGGAAUUUUUCGUAACGAAUUGUGGAGAUAUGAUUGGACUGUGAACACACACGUGUCUUGGGAACCCAUAAUUACACUGCUGGAUGUGUGCCGAGGGUUAUGUCCACCGACAGACGUGCGUGAACGAUGCCUACCAGCCCCGAAUAGGAAACACCCAAAUGCCCAGCGUGAGUAGGAUGCACACAAAUCCUGCCAUUCCCACACUUUCGGAUUCCCCAAGGCCGGUGGGGGCUACCCGCCCCUUCGGUCCCCCAGCUUUUCCGACGGUUUUGCAAGCCCCUACGUGCCUGCGUUCGAUCCCUCUGCUUUGAAUCCUGUUUUCCUGGCUGACUCUUGCCUGAGACAAAACCUGAUGAGGAAGGUCCUGCUCUCAGAACAGAAAAACGGGCGUUGGAAACCCGGCUCUGCCAGUUCUGUGGAGCUGUGGUUUUUCUUGUUUCCUCGUUUCGAACACGCAGAGGUGAGGAGAAAUCGAGGUACACAUGGAACAGUCAAGCCCAGCGCCUAGACUUAGGUGACAGCUGACAAUUAGUUGUCAUUAUUAUCAUUCCCAUUUAGGAGAUGAGGAAAGCGAGGCUCAAAGAGGUGACAUCAUUUGCCCCAAAUCACACAGCCAGGUGGUGGUGGGGUCCAGAUUUAAACCCAGGAGCCGAGGCCCCUAGCGCCCCCCGUCUUCCCAGCUGUGCCUCAGGCCUUACAAUACUCAGCAAGCCUGGCGUGGGUCAGGGUCCCUGGGGAGCUGGGGGCAGCCUGCUGCCACUCUCUCCUGGGGCUGCCUGCCAAGUGGAGCAGCGGGUGGCCCAGGCGCAGGCCAGUCACCUCGCAGUCUGGGCAGGGCUGUCCCAGUCCUGUGCACUUCACAAGGCAGGGGUCAGAGCCCGCUGUUAACAGAUGCUUGGAACAGGGCCUGGUCACAGAAAAUCGGUGACCGGGCUGGCCUCUCGUGUCCCAAUUCCAGGACAGCAGCAGGUGUCAAAGGCCUGGAGGAUGAAUCUGGGGUGCGGGCUGAGGCACCUGGGGUUGUGACCGCCAGUCUGAUUCGCCCUCGGCCCUCAGUGGCUUUGCCUUGGGGCGGCAAGAAGGCGGGUGGCAGCUCCAGGCUCACGUUUCACCGGUGAAGCAGCCCCGGUGGAGGGAGCUCCCCGGGCCUCAGAAUCCCAGCGGAAGUCCCAAAGGUGCCUUCUGUUGGCCCCGCUUGACUGUCUGUCCAUCCCUGGACGGGUCACAGUGCCCUGGGGGACGUGCCCUCUGAUUAUCCAGCCUGCAGUCAGGCUGGGGAGGCUGGUCCACCUCAAGCUACAUGGAAGUGGCCUUUUCCAAAGAAGGGGACUGGCCUCCAGGAUGCGGACGUAGCGAAUGACCACGACGAGGGAACUGUGGCCCGAGCCUGUCCCUGGUCGCAGCCCUGCUGACGGUGGCUGUGCUUUCUCCUUCACCUCCUCCACCAGGGGGCUGGGCGAACUUUGGAGGUAGCGGCAGGGACACACAGGACAGCUGGCCCUGGGCGGAGGUCCAGGAAGCCCCGGAGGAAGGAACGUCCUCUCGGGCGGGGGAGGGGAGCACUCGGUUUCCUCCGCCCACUCAAACACUGAGUGCCCAGGCCCGCCCCCAUCGGGGAGGUGGGGGUUCCGUCUAGGGCUUCCUCCCACAUCCAGGACCUGGGGCUCACGGAGAGAAGGUCAAAUGCCAGGCCCCACGCCAAGCCCGUGAGAGCGGCCGCCUCGUUUAAUCCUCACCAGAGCUGCACGAGCUCCCACUUCACAGACGAGGACACUGAGGCUCAGAAGAUGUUACAGCCAGCAAGCGGCCGAGCCCAGGCCUACCUGCUCCCAGAGCCCGCGUUCUGAGACUCUACGACGCACCUCUGUUUUCUUUUGAAAUAUCAUCGAUAGGUGGUUAAAGCAGCACCUCCCUAGUGGUUAAACGAGGUAGUGUCAGGCCAAGGACCACCUGAGACCUCAGCUCUCAGCCCAGGGAGGGGGCUGCGGUGAAGGAGCAGGCCAGCGGCGGGCGGGUGGGAGCAGCAGGCCUUCUCCACCUCCAUGGCCCAAUUCCUCCUCCCUCAAAACCCAGCUCGAAGGACACUUCCCGUGAGAAGCCUUUUCUGCUGUGCCUGUCCCCGUCCCAGGAUGCUUCCUCUGUGUCCCUUGUCCCUGGGCUUUCCUCAUCAGAGCCCCAACCAAAGUCUGUCUGUCAGGCUGGGGACAAGGAGCCCACAGGGACAGCAGGUUCCCUGGUGCCCAGUGUAGAUCACGGCACAGAGUGGACGCACAGCAAACACCCACCCACGAAUGAAUGAAUGAGGGAGCGAAUGAAUGCAUCGAGUCGCAGACCGAGCAGCCCUGCGGACAGCCCCAGGGAGCGGUGGCAGCAGGAGCUGGGCCGAGCUGCGGGGGGGACAGAGUCCAGUUCUGGCCAGAGUCCAAGGCCAGCUUAUCUUCACGGGCUGCUCUCAGCCCAGCUGACGCGAGGGCCUUGGGAAGCCAUGUGGCACUGCGGAGCCGUCGCCCUGGCUGCAGCAGUUUGGAACGCCGCCCGGCCUGCGGCCCCGUCGCGCCCCGGCUCACCCCGGCUCGCCCGCACGGCAGCCCGGUCGGCCGCUUCC